rnacentral:tmRNA from 2 species
GGGAGCGACUUGGCUUCGACAGGAGUAAGUCUGCUUAGAUGGCAUGUCGCUUUGGGCAAAGCGUAAAAAGCCCAAAUAAAAUUAAACGCAAACAACGUUAAAUUCGCUCCUGCUUACGCUAAAGCUGCGUAAGUUUAGUUGAGCCUGAAAUUUAAGUCAUACUAUCUAGCUUAAUUUUCGGUCAUUUUUGAUAGUGUAGCCUUGCGUUUGACAAGCGUUGAGGUGAAAUAAAGUCUUAGCCUUGCUUUUGAGUUUUGGAAGAUGAGCGAAGUAGGGUGAAGUAGUCAUCUUUGCUAAGCAUGUAGAGGUCUUUGUGGGAUUAUUUUUGGACAGGGGUUCGAUUCCCCUCGCUUCCACCA